rnacentral:lncRNA from 1 species
GUUCCAGUUCCUCCGCCCGAACCUGCUCUUUCCUGACCCCAAGCUUCCCUUGUAAGACGAAGGUAAGCUGUCGACCCCUUGUCCGCCUCGUUCGACCCUUCUGUUCGUCCGACCCCGGUUCCGUCUCGCCCGACCCUGUCUGUUAUGCCGACCCUUGUCCGCUUCACCCGACCCCUCUUAUCCGCCCGACCCCGGUUCCGUCUCGCCCGACCCUGUCUGUUCCGCCGACCCUUCUCCGCCUCGCCCGAGGGCUCGGCUGUAUCUUUUUCUUCGAACCGAGGGUGUAUGUGUAAAACUUGGGGACCUUUCAGCAUUGAGUCUGAGGACCGCUAGCACACCAAAUCCUCUAGGUUAAGGGUCAGAUCAUAAGUUCCCUCCCUCCGACCCUUACCUCUUGAUCUCCACCAACUCCAUCGAACCUCCCCACCCUCUUGUAACUUGUCGCAAGUUUCUGGGCUCAUACUUGCAAGUGUUGUUGUUGAAAUAACCGUCUAUGCUAACUCUUGCAUUGCAUUCGUGUAGAGCUGCAUCUCGCCGACGGCUACUACGAGCUGCACCCGGCGCCAGAAGACGACGGUGUAGCUGAUGAAACUUGCUAAGGCCCGACAGUGUUGUUGUUGAAAUAACCGUCUAUGAAACUUGCUAAGGCCCGACAAUGGUGGUGUUCGUGAUCAAGUGUUUGAAGGUACUAAUCUCAUACCUAGUAUGGGAUGGGGAAGCCUAGUACCUGAUUGAACUAGGGCGUGGCUUAUACCCCUGCUGUCCCUGGAACGAGGUUCCCAUGGUGCAUCAUGUGGGUGCAAGUGCGGUCACAGUACGGUAGAGGCCGGGACUGUGGAGCAUUGCAUGCCAAGGGAAGUUUGGACCUGACACGCGCCUGGGAAUUGAUGGGGACGGCCGACACAGGAAGCGGCCCUUGUGGUGCGCGGAUGUCGUGAGAUUAGGUUCGCCAUGCAUGGUUAAGAAACUCGAAUCGAUUCGUCUGCCUCUCACAGUUUGAGACUGCUUGAUCGCUAUGUCACCCUGAGUAAGAAGGAAAUAUGAUGAUGACAUGGUCUUGAUGAUGUUAUAUAUAUAUAUACCUUUGGUUGGUUCUAUGAUUGCUUAGAAUAGGUUGCAAAACUUAGACUGGAUAAUGAACUUAGAACCGGAGCUAAAACUUGAAAGUAGGGUACAUCUAGCGCUUUUGGCAAACAAACCCCUCAGCCAAAAAGCCUUGCAUGUCUAGAAGAGGUAGUUAGCGCGCUCCCUGUCGGUUAAGUCUUGUUGAGCUUAGUAGCUCAGCCUUGUUGUGGCUUUCUUUUUCAGGUGAAGUUUCUGCCUCCGAGCCUCCUCCUGCUGGCGCUUGGCCGCCCCAACUCCCUCCGGGUUGGACGGUCGAGUGGGAUCCCUCCUCGGACGGCGAGGAGAGGGAUCAUUGACGUCCCGGUUGGCCUCACCAGGGAUGUCCGACCCCAACGAGUUCGCUUCCGCUAGACGUUUUACCUUCUGUUGUUUUUCUUUUGAACCUUGUAAACUCUGAUGUGUUUUAUGGCCAAACUAAAUGGGUAAUUUUUUUAACUCGGUGGACUUGUUAUAUUCUCUGGAACAACUCACCUUCGUGUGGGUUUUGCUAACUCGAUCCUGUAUAAGUGGUUAAAUCAGAUGAAAUCCGACGGCACUUCGUGUUUACUCGGUUUAGGCAUGAGCAUCGCGUAUCAUGCGGCUAAAUCAUGUUUAACCUAGUAGAUCCGAAGUGGAUCCGCCACAGCUGGUACCAGAGCCGGUUAGCAAUACAGAGAACACAACAAGCCCUAACACACUUCUUUGAAAAGAUAAAAGUUGCAAGAAACUCUUUGAAAAUUGUCUUGUACGAUCAUUAAGGAUGACUUUAGUGCGAGAGGCCCUAGGGGAUUUUGGGGUUGUUUUAGGUGGCUAAUAUUUAUUUGGUUAUCUUGCUAACCCUUCCAGCACUUCGCCACGUUUAUCAUACGUGUGCCGAGUUCCGCAUCACGAGUAUGCGAGGGUUGAUAGGGAGUUCUAUUCAAAGGACCCUAUCAUCGCGGUUGUUUCGCCCACUUCUAUCAUACGUGCGCAGGUUCCGUAUGUAAUCCAUACGAAGGUUGGUACGGUUUGAUUCCAACGAGCCUAUUAGCACGGUUGUUCGCCACGUCUAUGAUACGUGCGCUGAUUCCGCAUCGCGAGUAUGCGAAGGGUUAUACGGUUCCAUUCAAAGGGAACCUAUUUCCACGGUUGAGUGCUGUCCAUGCAGCCUUGAACGCAUGGGUGCCGUUCCUAUAGUGAGCGGUAAUGUUUGGGAACGCUUUCGUGGGUGCUGGCACGAAAGGUUCGUGUGGUGGUGUUUUUCUGCAGGUACACUAACCGCGUUCGCUUAGGAGACGUUGCUAGAACCGACUAGCUAUUAUAGGGAGAGACAUACUGGUUGCCUUGCCACCGGCACUAACCGCGUAAGACCGAGUUUUGGCAGUUGUUUGGGUUGAGAACGAGGUAGGCCGUGCAUGCGACAUAAGCUAAGAAUCUGUUAAGUCACCUCCUCAAAAGCAACCUUGCUCGGAGAAGCUCUUCUUCGAUUCUAAGGAUUUCUAUAUUCUUCCAGCUUGUUCUCGGUUAAAACCGAAUGCUUUCUCUAUCCGACCCCUGACCUUUGGAGUCCAUCUCACGUGGUUUUGGUUUCUUGGUUCCAGAUGGCCGCCCCCGGACAUGUCCUGUAUGGAGCGGAUGGCACCUUCCAUUCAACGUGUCUACACUUCAAGGGCUUUCCUGCGAUCUUGUGGGAUACUUUGAAAUGGUUCGGGUACCAGUCCCCACCAUUGUAUGCAGGACGACUGUACCUGGAGUGAGGCGUCCAAACAUGCAACGUACAGGCGGUAGUACCUCCUCCUCCUGUGCGGCCCGACUGGCCCUCGUUCGGGAUAUCAGCAUACGGUCUUGCCCCGGAAGACACCUGGGAGUCCGCCACUCUUCAGCUCCUUACUCAAUUCUGUCAGCUGCACCCACUAGAGGUCACCCUAGACCCCAUCGGCCUGUUCCCCGCCAGGAACCGGUUGGACCCGGCGUGGCUCGACCGCGUCAGCAAUAUCGAGGUGCUGGCCACCACCUACUCUAUGGUCACCAUCUCCACCAACAUCCGGUGUAUGUCAGCCCUCUAUCGGCUGAUCGAGCUCCAAGGACGAGCCAUGUCUAUCCUUGCUUGGACCGCCAUGGAUGCCCAAGGACACCUCUAGGCCGCCAGAAGAGACCUGGUAGGCCAAACAUAUCAGCUUAUCCAGCGAGGCGUUCAGAUCCACGACAUGCAGGACAGAAUCUCUGAGCUCGAAGGAGAAGUAGCCGAUUUGGUGGACGGCAUGAUCCAGCUAUCGGAGGAGAAGAUCGAAGUGGAAAUGGAGCUGGCGGUUGCCAAUGCUCAUCUGGACGAGCAUCACGCCGAGCUCGAUGAUAUGCACGCCCUCCAGAUGCAACUAGAAGCUCAAGAGGACCCCGAGGAGGUUGAGGAAGUGUCCAGUAUGGACAUUGAAGAGGAUAACACCCCUUCUCCUACUCAUAGUGUUCAUUUGUAGAUGGAGAGUUGCAAGGAACCCAUUCUUUUGUUGUACUCCUCAGCAGCCUAAAUUUUGGAAAGAUCUGUAAUAGGUUAGCCUUGAGUCGAGUACUCCCUGUGUUUGGAACACCUCUGUAAAAAGAUCCCAAUGAAAUCAAAUCCUGAGUCUGACCUUUAACUCUUUACAAAAUGUUGGAAUGUUAGACUAAGUGAGUUGUGCUGUGACCACACACGCUGUUUUCUGUGGGUCUGUUCAAGUUGGCCGACCCCGGUUCGCGAGAUCGGAUGCGCCCGACCUUUCGAGGCAGCCUCCGCCUCGCCCGACCCCUUUUUGUGUGGAUCGUUGCCGACCCCUUGGCUUAAGUUCCGGAAUAAGAAAAUUCCAAGAGUCUGGGUAUGGAUCGCCCGAAGUUGAGUACGAGGCUAAGAUAAAUGCUAACUAACAUGACAAUGAGAAGAGUGUACCUCCCUUAUGAGGACGUGUGUUGCAUUAUCGGCAAGAGUUGCAUCGGAGAACUUGACUUAUGCGUUUCCAUCUGUUGGAGUACUUCUAAGAUUAUGAAUUAAAUGGAACGUUAACUCUUGCAGAUGGCGCAUCGCACUAGAUCUGGUUCUGUGCCCGGCAGCAGCGAGCAAAGACAAGAUCUUCCCCCACCCCCGCCCUCAUCUCCACUAGAGGCAAUCUUAGCGGCUCAAACCGAGCUGCUGAGACAUCUUGUACAAGGGCAAUAGCAGCAGCCCCAUGGGGGAAGGGCUCAGCAGCAGCCUCAUGUUGUUCGCUAUGAGGACUUCUUGGGGACGCAGCCCCCUUUGUUCCAGAAGACACAAGACCCGCUCGACGCCGACGCCUGGGUUCGUACGAUUGAAUCCAAGUUCGAGCUUCUCACCGUCCCGUGCCCCGACCAUAACAAGGCCCGGUUUGCAGCUCAACAGCUGCGUGGUUCCGCCCGACUCUGGUGGGACCACUACCAUGCUAUGUUGCCGGCCGGCCAUGUGGUCAGCUGGAAUGAGUUCAAGACCGCGUUUAGAGUGCAUCACAUUCCGGAAGGUCUCCUAGAGCGCAAGCUCAACGAGUUCUUGGCUCUUACCCAGGCAAACCAACAUGUCCUGCACUAUGCCCAAGCUUUCAAUGAUCUAUGCCGUUAUGCCGGCUAUCAUGCGGACACAGACGAGAAGAAGCGGGACAGAUUCUGCCGAGGACUAAGUUUGGAGCUCAGAGAGAGGUUGAACCCCAUCAAGGUGGAUUGCAUGCAGGCUCUCAAAGCCGACCAGAAGAGGAAGGCCUCCGUGGCAUUUUUGAGCCAGCCAACUCGAAGGUUCAGGAUGGUUCCUCCACAAGCUCCCAGCCGACCCCAGCAGUCGGGAAGGUGGAUUGCCCGACCCCCACCAGCAGCAGAACCUGCCGCCACCCCGCCCUGCAACUGGUAACCGCUGCUUCACCUGCGGCAAUGAAGGGCAUUUCGCCAAGGACUGCCCUAGAAAUCAGAGCCCGCGCCCAGGGCAGAGCAAUGCAACACCCAACCAAGGAAAGAGGCCCAAGGUGCAAGUUCGCCAAGGACGACUGAACUUCACCCACGCAGCAGAGCUUCCCGAAGGUGCGCUGAUAAUGACGGGUACCUUUCUAAUUCAUAGCUUUUCAGCUUUGGUUUUGUUUGACUCGGGAGCUUCACAUAGUUUUAUCGGGAGAAAGACCCAUGACAAUUGUGGGUUACAAGAAUGCCAAACCAGAGGGGCUUUUAGAAUAUCCACCCCGGGUGGAAUGAUCACAUCUGAUAGGAUAAGUGUCAAUGUGCCUAUUCAGCUAGGCCAAAACCUUUUUAAGGAGAAUCUUAUCAUCCUUGACCUGGACGGAAUAGAUAUCAUUCUUGGAAUGGAUUGGAUGACCCGGCACCAAGUGGUCCUAGACCCAGCCGCCCGAACCCUCCACAUCAACUCGCCCUUUUAUGGCAGUUCUACCCUGUUCUUGAACCCUCCUAAAUCCGCACUUCCUUGUGCGUAUCCUCUAUCGGAAGCCCGGCUAGAAAGCCUCCCUGUUGUCUGUGAGUACCCGGAUGUGUUCCCAGAGGACUUGCCCGGCAUGCCGCCCAAUAGAGAUGUGGAGUUUUCCAUAGAGUUGAUCCCCACCACCGCUCCGAUAUCCAAGAGACCCUAUCGGAUGCCGCCUGCUGAGUUGGCCGAGUUGAAGACCCAGUUGCAUGAUCUGUUGGAAAAGGGCUUCAUCCGACCUAGCACAUCACCUUGGGGUUGCCCCGCCCUGUUUGUGAAGAAGAAGGAUGGGAGUCUACGCAUGUGUGUGGACUACCGACCCCUCAAUGCGGUGACUGUUAAGAACAAGUACCCACUUCCACGCAUCGAUGUCUUGUUUGAUCAGUUAGCUGGAGCAAAAGUGUUCUCCAAGAUCGAUCUUCGUUCAGGUUAUCACCAAAUCAAGAUCCGACCAUGCGACAUAUCCAAAACAGCCUUCUCCACAAGAUAUGGACUCUACGAGUACCUGGUCAUGUCUUUUGGACUCACCAAUACACCCGCAUACUUCAUGUACCUCAUGAACUCGGUAUUCAUGUCCGAGUUGGACAAGUUUGUAGUGGUGUUCAUUGAUGAUAUCCUGGUGUACUCGAAGAGCGAAGAAGAACAUGCCAACCAUCUUCGCAUAGUUCUCCAACGGCUAAGAGACCAUCGGCUCUAUGCCAAGUUCUCCAAGUGUGAGUUAUUGUUAGAUAGUGUCAAGUUUUUGGGACACACUAUCUCCAAGGAUGGCAUAGCCAUCGACCCCAGCAAGGUACAGGAAGUCAUGGACUGGAAGCCUCCCGCCUCCGUGCACCAGAUCCGAAGUUUCCUUGGACUGGCAGGCUACUAUCGGCGUUUCAUACCGGAUUUCUCCAAGAUAGCUAAGCCGAUGACAGAACUGCUGAAGAAGGAGGUCAGAUUCAUGUGGGACAACAAAUGUGAAGAAGCCUUCAAAACCUUAAAGCGCUUGCUGACCACAGCCCCAGUUUUGGCUCAACCCGACCCCUCUAGGCCGUUUGACGUGUACUGUGACGCCUCUGGCACUGGACUUGGGUGUGUUCUUAUGCAAGACAACCGAGUCAUUGCCUAUGCCUCACGGGCGUUACGACCUCAUGAGCUGAACUACCCAACGCAUGAUCUUGAGUUGGCAGCAGUGAUUCAUGCCUUAAAGAUAUGGAGACACUAUCUGAUGGGCACCCACUGCAACAUCUACACCGACCAAAAAAGCCUCAAGUACCUCUUCACUCAAGCCGACCUCAACAUGCGCCAAAGGAGAUGGUUGGAGUUGAUAAAAGACUAUGAUUUGGAAGUUCACUAUCAUCCCGGCAAGGCCAAUGUGGUGGCCGAUGCUCUUAGCCGCAAGCCCUGUUGCAACUGCUUGUUGGCAACAACCUUCACCGAAACCUUGUGUCAUGAGAUGGGAAAACUCAGUUUGGAAAUUGUUCCCCAUGGAACCCUCGGCCACAUAGCUCUUGAGUCUGUUUUGAAGGACCAAAUAAGGUCAGCACAGCUAGAGGAUGCGGAAGUGAGACGAAUCAAACUGAAGAUUUCAUUGAAGGAUGAAGGGUAUAAGCAUUUCCGACAGGAUGAGACUGGGAAGGUGUAUUAUGGAAACCGGCUUGUUGUACCAUCCGACCCCAACCUUAAGAAGCAGAUACUAGAUGAAGCUCAUCUCUCAAGGUUCUCAAUCCAUCCUGGUAGCAAUAAGAUGUACCAUGAUCUCCGUCAAACCUUCUAGUGGAGUGGAAUCAAGCCGGAAAUUGCCCGGUAUGUUUCAGAAUGUGACACCUGUCAACGUGUCAAAGCCAGUCAUCUAAAGGUAGCAGGUACCCUGCAGCCCCUACCUAUUCCCUCUUGGAAAUGGGAAGACAUCAGCAUGGACUUCAUAGUUGGACUGCCCCUUACAUCACAGCGACAUGACUCCAUCUGUGUUAUAGUGGACCGCCUGACCAAGUCUGCCCACUUCCUUCCUGUCCGCACCACCUACACUGUCAAGCAGUAUGCAGAGUUGUACCUCGACCGCAUAGUUUCCCUACACGGUGUACCUAAGACCAUCAUCUAUGAUUGAGGAAUUCAGUUCGUAGCACACUUUUGGGAACAGCUACAAGCAUCAAUGGGCACCAAGCUCAUCCGUAGCUCAACCUAUCAUCCUCAAACCGAUGGUCAAACCGAAAGAGUCAAUCAGAUCCUUGAAGACAUGUUGAGAGCUUGUGUCAUCCAUUAUGACAAAAAUUGGGACAAGUGCUUGCCCUUGGCAGAAUUCUCCUACAACAAUAGCUACCAGGCCAGUUUGAAGAUGGCACCGUUUGAAGCCUUAUAUGGCCGGAGAUGUCGGACACCUUUGAAUUGGUCACAAACUGGAGAAAGAUAGAUCUAUGACCCUGACUUAGUGGUAGAAGCCGAAGAACAAGUAAAGGUGAUUCAAGCAAAUCUCAAGGCUGCCCAAUCUCGACAGAAGAGUUAUUCCGACAGGCGAAGAAGGCCCCUACAGUUUGACAUUGGUGAUCAUGUGUAUCUACGAGUUUCCCCAACCAAAGGAGUGCAACAGUUUGGAGUGAAAGGAAAGUUGGCUCCCCGCUACAUUGGCCCUUAUGAGAUUGUGGAGAUCUGUGGACCCGUUGCUUACCGGAUCCAACUCCUGGAAAAUCUCUCGGCCAUACACGAUGUUUUCCAUGUGUCUCAACUGAAGAAAUGUGUCCAAGUCCCAACUGAGAUCUUAGAGCAAGAGCAGCUUCAGAUCGAGCCCGACCUAACCUAUGCCGAGUACCCAGACAGAGUUCUUGACCAUAAGGAGAGGCGCACCCGGCGCCAAGUGGUUAAAAUGUACAAGAUCUUAUGGAACAACCACACAAAAGAUGAAGCAACAUGGGAAACAGAUGAGUAUUUGAACAAGCACUUCCCAGGUUUUCUGUCUCGUCAAGGAGGUAAGGACUGCACACCUUACUCUUACACCUGAAUCUCGGGACGAGAUUCUUUUUAAGAGGGGUAGGCUGUGACGACCGACCCCGAAUCUCUCGAGUUAAUCUUAAUCAAAGUCCCUAAUCACGUCUCAGCUUUACCGAGUUUAAGUACUCAACCUCCAGUCCGGUCCCAACCCCUGAGACCCGACCCCUCUCCGCUGGCCUCCAGUUCCGACCCCGCCCACCCCAACUCACCCGCCGGAUCCUUCUAAGUCUUCCCCCAACACCUCCCUUCAAUCUGACCGGUGGGCCCACAAGAUCUUUUCCCUCAGAUCUCCCAUGACAGGCGCACUCGAGUUGCAUGCCCGCUUCAGAGUUCCCCCGCCGUGUGGCUCAACUCCUCCGACGUUCGCCGCUCCGCCUCGUCUUCAGCCCGCGACCGGAUGGAUUCUCGCUCCCCCUUCCCCAAUCGCAGCGGAAGCCCCUCUGCAACCCUUUCUGCAGCACCUCGCCGCCCGCGCCCAUCAUCAUAUCGCUAGAUCCCGGCCGUAGAGCCCGAUGCCGCCCAUCUUUUCCGUCACCUCGCCACAGUCGCGCCGCCCGAUCUUCGCUACACGACAAUUCCUCCUCCGCCAACCCAGACCGCGCCAGCGACAGCUCCUUUUCCCGCCCUGUCAGAAGCCGCCCCGACAAUAUGUUGCUCCGCGCUCGCCCACGCACCCGCAGCCACCUGUCUUCUCACCUGUGCGCCCUCGAUCCUAGUGCCGUUUUCCCGGUCACUUCCAUCAGCUCCACCGCACGACGACGCCCGCCUCCGCCAAAUCUCAACCACCGGCAAACCCGCGCCUGCGCCGCCCUGACGCCAGUGCCCAAUGACCGCCGGCGUCAUCCCCGGAGUCCUGCUCCACCGCCCUCGUCGCUCAAUCACCGCCCGUGCAGAGCACUCCAUUGCUUCUUCCCCGGCCUUCGCGCCGCUCCCCUUCUUCCUCCUGCGCCACUAUAAAAGGGAAUGCGCAAGCCCCGCCGGAGUUUCCCUUGCCCUAGCUGCCAUCUCUCUUGCUCCCUGUUCGAGCUCACAGCGCCCCACACUAAGUCCCUGAGGAACUCUCCUCUCCGCUCCGCACCGCUUUCCCCAAUCCACCCAGCCGCUUGCUCCUCCGUGCUGCGUAAGAGCUUACUUGUGAUCCACAAGAAGCACCGCCGCUGCCGGAGCACCGCCGGACAUCUCCGUGGCAAGUCUUAGUGUUCCAGUUCCUGCGCCCGAACCUGCUCUUUCCCGACCCCAAGCUUCCCUUGUAAGACGAAGGUAAGCUUCCGACCCCUUGGCCGCCUCGUCCGACCCUUCUGUUCGUCCGACCCCGGUUCCAUCUCGCCCGACCCUGUCUGUUCUGCCGACCCUUGUCCGCUUCACCUGACCCCUCUUAUCCGCCCGACCCCGGUUCCGUCUCGCCCGACCCUGUCUGUUUCGCCGACCCUUCUCCGCCUCGUCCGAGGGCUCUGCUGUAUCUUUUUCUUCGAACCGAGGGUGUAUGUGUAAAACUUGGGGACCUUUCAGCAUUGAGUCUGAGGACCCCUAGCACACCAAAUCCUCUAGGUUAAGGGUCAGAUCAUAAGUUCCCUCCCUCCGACCCUUACCUCUUGAUCUCCACCAACUCCAUUGAACCUCCCCACCCUCUUGUAACUUGUCGCAAGUUUUUGGGCUCAUACUUGCAAGUGUUGC